CAGUAGCCGCGGGAAUACGAAGGGGGCUAGCGUUGUUCGGAAUUACUGGGCGUAAAGCGCACGUAGGCGGAUUGUUAAGUUAGGGGUGAAAUCCCAGGGCUCAACCCUGGAACUGCCUUUAAUACUGGCAAUCUCGAGUCCGAGAGAGGUGAGUGGAAUUCCGAGUGUAGAGGUGAAAUUCGUAGAUAUUCGGAGGAACACCAGUGGCGAAGGCGGCUCACUGGCUCGGUACUGACGCUGAGGUGCGAAAGCGUGGGGAGCAAACAGGAUUAGAUACCCGCGUAGUCCCUGUCUCUUAUAA
rnacentral:rRNA from 1 species